rnacentral:rRNA from 1 species
AGUGAACGCUGGCGGUAGGCCUAACACAUGCAAGUCGAACGGCAGCACAGUAAGAGCUUGCUCUUACGGGUGGCGAGUGGCGGACGGGUGAGGAAUACAUCGGAAUCUACUUUUUCGUGGGGGAUAACGUAGGGAAACUUACGCUAAUACCGCAUACGACCUACGGGUGAAAGCAGGGGAUCUUCGGACCUUGCGCGAUUGAAUGAGCCGAUGUCGGAUUAGCUAGUUGGCGGGGUAAAGGCCCACCAAGGCGACGAUCCGUAGCUGGUCUGAGAGGAUGAUCAGCCAAACUGGAACUGAGAAACGGUCCAGACUCCUACGGGAGGCAGCAGUGGGGAAUAUUGGACAAUGGGCGCAAGCCUGAUCCAGCCAUACCGCGUGGGUGAAGAAGGCCUUCGGGUUGUAAAGCCCUUUUGUUGGGAAAGAAAAGCAGCAGGUUAAUACCCCGCUGUUCUGACGGUACCCAAAGAAUAAGCAACGGCUAACUUCGUG